CUCUCCGUAGCUCAGCUGGUAGAGCAAUUGACUCUUAAUCAAUGGGCCACAGGUUCGAUUCCUGUCGGGGAGA
rnacentral:tRNA from 1 species